GACGAACGCUGGCGGCGUGCCUAAUACAUGCAAGUCGAGCGGAUCUUUUCCUUCGGGGAAAGGUUAGCGGCGGACGGGUGAGUAACACGUAGGCAACCUGCCUCCAAGAUCGGGAUAACAUGCGGAAACGGAUGCUAAGACCGAAUACGCAGCACUGUCGCAUGACGGAGCUGAGAAACACGGUGCAAGCUGUGGCUUGGAGAUGGGCCUGCGGCGCAUUAGCUAGUUGGCGGGGUAACGGCUCACCAAGGCGACGAUGCGUAGCCGACCUGAGAGGGUGAACGGACACACUGGGACUGAGACACGGCCCAGACGCCUACGGGAGGCAGCAGUAGGGAAUCUUCCACAAUGGCGCAAGCCUGAUGGAGCAACGCCGCGUGAGUGAGGAAGGCUUUCGGGUCGUAAAGCUCUGUUGCCAGGGAAGAAUAAGCAUGAAGUAACUAUUCAUGCGAUGACGGUACCUGAGAAGAAAGCCCCGGCUAACUACGUGCCAGCCGCCGCAGUAA
rnacentral:rRNA from 1 species